rnacentral:rRNA from 1 species
CACGUAGGGUGCGAGCGUUGUCCGGAAUUAUUGGGCGUAAAGAGCUCGUAGGCGGUGUGUCGCGUCGGCCGUGAAAACCUGCAGCUUAACUGUGGGCUUGCGGUCGAUACGGGCAUCACUGGAGUUCGGCAGGGGAGACUGGAAUUCCUGGUGUAGCGGUGAAAUGCGCAGAUAUCAGGAGGAACACCGGUGGCGAAGGCGGGUCCCUGGACAACACCUGACACUGAGGCACGAAAGCCGGGGGAGCAAACAGG